rnacentral:rRNA from 1 species
UAAUAGCUCACUAGUCGAGUCGUCCUGCGCGGAAGAUGUAACGGGGCUCAAGCCAUGAACCGAAGCUGCGGAUCUCGUAAGAGAUGGUAGGGGAGCGUUCUGUAAGUCUGUGAAGGUGUCUUGUAAAGGAUGCUGGAGAUAUCAGAAGUGCGAAUGCUGACAUGAGUAGCGAUAAAGGGAGUGAAAAGCUCCCUCGCCGAAAGCCCAAGGUUUCCUGCGCAACGUUCAUCGGCGCAGGGUGAGUCGGCCCCUAAGGCGAGGCAGAAAUGCGUAGUCGAUGGGAAACAGGUCAAUAUUCCUGUACCGCUCUUAGAUGCGAUGGGGGGACGGAGAAGGUUAGCUCGGCCAUCUGUUGGAAUAGGUGGUUUAAGCGUGUAGUCGUGCCGCGUAGGCAAAUCCGCGUGGCUUAGAUGAGGCGUGAUGACGAGGAUCCUCGGAUCCGAAGCGAGUGAUACCCAGCUUCCAGGAAAAGCCUCUAAGCUUCAGUCUAAGAGUGACCGUACCGCAAACCGACACAGGUGGGCUGGUAGAGAAUACCAAGGCGCUUGAGAGAACUCAGGAGAAGGAACUCGGCAAAUUGAUACCGUAACUUCGGGAGAAGGUAUGCCCCUGGUACGUGAAGGCCCUCGCGGCCGGAGCGGAACGGGGUCGCAGAGAAUCGGUGGCUGCGACUGUUUAUUAAAAACACAGCACUCUGCAAACACGAAAGUGGACGUAUAGGGUGUGACGCCUGCCCGGUGCCGGAAGGUUAAGUGAUGGGGUGCAAGCUCUUGAUCGAAGCCCCGGUAAACGGCGGCCGUAACUAUAACGGUCCUAAGGUAGCGAAAUUCCUUGUCGGGUAAGUUCCGACCUGCACGAAUGGCGUAACGAUGGCCACACUGUCUCCUCCUGAGACUCAGCGAAGUUGAAAUGUUUGUGAAGAUGCAAUCUCCCCGCGGCUAGACGGAAAGACCCCAUGAACCUUUACUGUAGCUUUGCAUUGGACUUUGACGGGACUUGUGUAGGAUAGGUGGGAGGCUUUGAAACCGGGACGCCAGUUCCGGUGGAGCCAACCUUGAAAUACCACCCUGGUGUCGUCGAGGUUCUAACCCAGGCCUGUGAAUCCAGGUCGGGGACCGUGCAUGGUGGGCAGUUUGACUGGGGCGGUCUCCUCCCAAAAGGUAACGGAGGAGUACGAAGGUCUUCUAGGUACGGUCGGACAUCGUACUGAUAGUGCAAUGGCAAAAGAAGGCUUGACUGCGAGACCCACAAGUCGAGCAGGUGCGAAAGCAGGUCAUAGUGAUCCGGUGGUUCUGUAUGGAAGGGCCAUCGCUCAACGGAUAAAAGGUACUCUGGGGAUAACAGGCUGAUUCCGCCCAAGAGUUCACAUCGACGGCGGAGUUUGGCACCUCGAUGUCGGCUCAUCACAUCCUGGGGCUGUAGCCGGUCCCAAGGGUAUGGCUGUUCGCCAUUUAAAGUGGUACGUGAGCUGGGUUUAAAACGUCGUGAGACAGUUUGGUCCCUAUCUGCCGUGGGCGCUGGAAGUUUGAGAGGGCCUGCUCCUAGUACGAGAGGACCGGAGUGGACGCACCCCUGGUGUACCGGUUGUGACGCCAGUCGCAUCGCCGGGUAGCUAUGUGCGGAAGAGAUAACCGCUGAAAGCAUCUAAGCGGGAAACUCGCCUCAAGAUGAGACUUCCCCGGGGCCUCGAGCCCCCUGAAGGGUCGUUGAAGACCACAACGUUGAUAGGCCGGGUGUGUAAGCGUGGCAACACGUUCAGCUAACCGGUACUAAUUGCCCGUGUGGCUUGAUCCU